rnacentral:rRNA from 1 species
AGUGAACGCUGGCGGUAGGCCUAACACAUGCAAGUCGAACGGCAGCACAGUAAGAGCUUGCUCUUACGGGUGGCGAGUGGCGGACGGGUGAGGAAUACAUCGGAAUCUACUUUUUCGUGGGGGAUAACGUGGGGAAACUUACGCUAAUACCGCAUACGACCUACGGGUGAAAGCAGGGGAUCUUCGGACCUUGCGCGAUUGAAUGAGCCGCUGUCGGAUUAGCUAGUUGGCGGGGUAAAGGCCCACCAAGGCGACGAUCCGUAGCUGGUCUGAGAGGAUGAUCGGCCACACUGGAACUGAGACACGGUCCAGACUCCUGCGGGAGGGAGCAGUGGGGAAUAUUGGACAAUGGGCGCAAGCCUGAUCCAGCCAUACCGCGUGGGUGAAGAAGGCCUUCGGGUUGUAAAGCCCUUUUGUUGGGAAAGAAAAGCAGCAGGUUAAUACCCCGCUGUUCUGACGGUACCCAAAGAAUAAGCACCGGCUAACUUCGUG